UUUGUUUUGCUUUUUAGGGCUGCACUUGUGACAUAUGGAAGUUGCCAGGCUAGGGGUGGAAUUGGAGCUAAAGUUGCCAGGCGAGGGGUUGAAUUGGAACUGAAGUUAUCAACCACAGACCUGCACCACAGCCACAGCAAUGCCAGAUCCAAGCCAAUUCUACAACCUACACCACAGCUCACAACAACACUGGAUCCUUAAACUUCUGAGGGAGGCCAAGGAUUGAACCUGUAUCCUCAUGGAUACUAAUUGGGUUUAUUACCACUGAGCCACAGUGGGAACUCUGACAAUACUUUUGAAAUGUUCUCAUAUUAAUUUGUCAUUUAUUUCAUUCUGCUAAGCAAGUCAAGCAAGUUUGCCAUUAUUAAAAAUAUAAAUUUUUGCAAGAAAAAGUGUCUACAAUUAGAAACACACCUAAAUCAUUACUUAGGAAGUUGGCUAUUAUAAAAAUAACGUAAGGAAUUGGGGAAAAUCCUAGACACAUAUAUGAUUUAUUGAAAAAAAUAAGCAACUGUUUACUUAAUACCAACCAAACUUGUUUUACAACAUUUUUGCACAGUCAAAACAAAUUACUAAGGGUCCACAAGUAUUAGAGAAUGGAAAAAGGCAAAUAAGAGCUCAAUGAGCCACACAAUUAUGAUCAAUUAAUCUACAACAAAGGAGGCAAGAAAAUACAAUGUAGAACAGGCAGCUUCUUUAAUAAGAGGUGCUGGGGAAAAUGGACAGUGACGUGCAAACAAAUGAAAUUAGAAUAUUCUCUACCACCACAUAUACAUAAACAAAACUAAACUCAAAUGGAUUAAAGACUUAAAUGUAAGACUGGAUACUAACUCCUAAGGAAAACAUAGGUAGAACACUAUGCACAUAAAUUGCAGCAACAUAUUAUUGGCUCCAACUCCUUGAGGAAUAGAAAUAAAAACGAAAAUAAACAAACAGGACCUAAUUAAACUUAAAAGGAAACCACAAACAAAACGAAAAGACAACCUAUGGAAUAGGCUAAAACCGCAAAUGAUGUGACCAGCAAAGAUUUAGUUUCCAAAAUAUGCAAACUGCUCAUACAGAUUUAAAAAAGAAGAAAAAGAAAAAACCCAAUCAAAAAAUGGGCAGAGGAGUUCCCACUGUGGCUCAGUGGUAGUAAACCCAACCAAUAUGCACAAGGACGUGGGUUCUACCCCUGGACUCACUCACUGGGUUAAGGAUCCAGCUUUGCUGUGAGCUGUGGUAUAAAUCACAGACUUGGCUCGGAUCUGGUGUUGCUGAGGCUGUGGCGUAGGCAGGCAGCCAGAGCUCCAAUUAGACCCGCAGCCUGGGAACUUCCAUAUGCUGCAGGUGCCACCCUAAAAAGUCACAAGAAAAAAAAAAAGACAAACUUAGCAAGGGGGCAAAGGACCUACAUGCUGAAAACUAUAAAAUAUUAUUCAAGGAAAUUAAAGAAGAUGUAAGGAAAUGGAAAGAUAUUCCAUGCUCCUGGGUUGGAAAAAUUAAUAUUGUAAAAAUGCCCGUACUACCCAAAGCAAUCUACAGAUUCAAUGCAAU
rnacentral:lncRNA from 1 species